AGAUACAUGGUGUCUCCUUUUACUAAUUACCGUCGUAGACUUCAAGUGUUUAAAUCGUGUUGUUCACAUGUUUGUUUGUUCUGGUUUCACGUGGUGUUCCUUAUCCUUAUCUUGAUCACCUGAAAGUACAUCAACAAAUGUUGUGAUGAUAACUGGAGCUCGGGUGAUUCGAAUUUUGCUGGGGCGAAAAGGAUGUGUAGCCUCAUUGAGCAAUGAGCAGUCAGUUCAGAAUCCAAAUGAUUUAAUAGAUCACAUGUACUUAUGCCUUACCAUGAGUCUUCCUUACUUCUGGGUGGCAAUUGGCAAAAGUCCUUAUCAGUAAGCAGCAUGGUAAAGCGUUUUGACCUUAAAAGAUUCUGGGUUUGGUUCUGAUUCUUGUUCAGCACUCGACCUUGAAAACCUCCAAGUUGCCCAGUUGACAAAAAUUAAAGGUUACCGAGCUCAUCCACAUCGCACAAUGUUCCACGUGUCGCUCAUCCUCCACGUUUCAAGUGCCAAAAUGAAAAAGAUUGGAUUGUCGACGCCAAACAUCCAGCUCCUCGGCUUGGAACUUGUAUGACGCAAUCGGUGCCAUCAUUGGAUUCAUCGAGUACAUAACUCAAAAUGUA